AAGAAGAAGAAGAAGAUCUUCGGUCUGGGAUAGCUUGUGGUGGACAGGGACGUGCAGGCCAGGUCUUCAUUAGAUGGCGAGCUACCACUAGGCCUGUGGCCCAAAGAACCGGAAGUUGAGCUGCUGGAUCUCCAUGUUUCUGGACUCAACUCGAGUCAGAGGGUCCAGGAAGUGGAAGAUAAAUUGCAAGCAUGGAGCAGGACGAGCAUGGCUGAUGUUGUGACUGGUGCUCUGUUGAGUAAAUGUGGCUCACACCUUCGUUUGGAGUUUGCAGGUUUCAAACGUGUGUCUUCCCUUGCACUGCAUGGACAAAGCUGCUACCACGUGCAUCCAAUGAAUCACUUCAGCCUGAUGCGUCCUUUUAUUACAGCCAGUUUCCUUCAAAAUAAACAUCUUUGAAAUGAAAUUAUUCAUAAAUAUUACAACAUUUCACAGUGGUAUUGGCUCAAAUUGCUCAACUUCGUAACUGAUACGAAGUUGAGCACCUAUCCAUUGUUGUUUUUUCCUGUAUUCCCAUAUGUGAUGUCAUUGUUUUUCCAAUUGUUUUUUUUUUUUCAAGUUGGGAAUGUUUGGUCACAUUAAACCCCCUUCAUUAGUCAACACCAGAUAUUUGUUUUAAUACCGUAUCUUUGCAGCACUUUCUUUUUAAUAAACCUGCUCUGCUUUUUUUUUUUUUUUUUACCAAUUUAUUAGAAUAAAUAUGUCUUUGUUUCUUGGAGAUUGCACAUAUGUUAGUUGAAGUGAGCAUAUUGUCUUUAGGUGUUUGAUCAAACAUCGCAGGAAAAGCCCUGGAUAACAAGAAUGUUACUCAUGAAAUUGAAUCUUAGAAUAUGUCUGAAUGUCAUUCUUUCUAGUUUUCAAUACUUCCCCAUCUUGCUUCUUUGUAGGCACACACGCCUUCAUGCCUCUCCUUUCUCGUCCGACAUUGCCUCUCGCAAGGAAGUCCGUCUACUUCAGGCAUAUUUUCUUACAGCCCAGCAAAUAUCAAUAGCAUCUGGAUGAUAUUUACUGGUGUGGGGAAGAUGAAUGUCCUGCUCUAAAUGCUUCAACCUCAUUGCCUUUUGGAAUAUUAGUCAUGUAAACAGCGUCUGCUUAUUAAUGGUAAAAGCUUUUCCUAAUGAUCCACACCUCACAUGAGCCUGAAAUAUCAAGUCAGGAUAUAAAGAGCAGCCAUAGAUCAUCAUAAUGAAUGAUGGGAGGCUGGCGGAAGGCUGGGGGAGGAGACCCGUCUCCAUACUAAUUCACUCACUAGUUCCCUUCUUGACUCAUAUGCUUUUUGGUCAUAAUACAUCAAGGCUGUAUGAUUCUUCCAUUAAUGCAGCGAGCUUUGCCUUCACUCUGCUGAUGAUGAUUUGUCAGCAUUAUAGAGCACUUAUAAACCUGAAGAUUUCUUUCAGGUCUAAAGGAAGAAGACGUACAAGUCGCUGUGGUUGCUCGCAAGGUUGAAAUUGCAAUCUGACGUGCUGUUUACACGUCGAGUUAUUCUGCCGCCUGAAAUGAACUCCACAAGGAAUGGAAAUAAUUUACAAACCUAAUCAAAUGUGUUCAAAAGAAGCAGUAUGUGUCUUUUAACGAGCGCUUUGAUAUCAAUCUGACACAGUCUCCUGAGAGGAACCAUCAAAGCCCUGUUACUUUUUAUCAUGCUGGA